AACGCACAUUGCGCCCGGUGGUAUUCCGCCGGGCAUGCCUGUUCGAGCGUCAUUUAAACCAAUCCAGCCUCGUGCUUGGGUCUUGGGCCUUUCGCCUCUGGGCGGGCCUUAAAAUCAGUGGCGGUGCCAUCUGGCUCUAAGCGUAGUAAUACUCCUCGCUAUAGACGUCUGGUGGUGUCUUGCCAAUAACCCCUAAUUUUUACAGGUUGACCUCGGAUCAGGUAGGGAUACCCGCUGAACUUAA
rnacentral:misc_RNA from 1 species